AUGGCACUCCCCUACCACAGGAUAGUUGAAACAGUAUCGACGCCGGCCUUGGUCCAUCCGAAGGAAGGGAGAAGGAAAAAAAAAGGUAGGAAAUCGUUGGGUUCCAGAGCAUCCAGGCAAAGCAACCGGCUGGAGGAGCAGGCGGGGAGGGAGAGGAAGAAAUCAAUCAGGAAGAGACCCGGACCUCCCUUCCAUGGCGCCUCAAUCACAGGAGGCGACAAUCCAAGGUCGAUCAACAUCAAAACGAAAAGAGAGGAGAGACUUAAUCGAAUAAUCCGUUUGAUCGAUCGCCUUCUCCUCCCUCGUGGAUGA
rnacentral:rRNA from 1 species